UUCCAGAACAUUGGGCUGGAUAAACCAUGGUUUGACCAGGUCUAUCUUUUUUUGUUGUUGUUUAACUGGAGUAUAAUUGCUUUGGGCUUCCCAGGUGGCACAGUGGUAAAGAAUCCGCCUGCCAAUGCAGGAGACACAGGAGAUGAGGGUUCAGUCCCUGGGUUGGGAAGAUCCCCUAGAGGAAGAAAUGGCAACUUGCUCCAGUAUUCUUGCCUGGCAAAUUCCGCCGACUGAGGAGCCUGGCAGGCUACAGUCCAUGACUGAGCAACUGAGCACAUAGUUGCUUUACAACGUUGUAUUAGUUUCUGCUGUAUGACAACGUUAAUCAGCUAUGCCCAGGCGUUAUGGGACUUUUCCCUGGGCCUCCAGAGAAGGGAGGACUGGAACUCGGCCCUACCAGAAAUCAGACCAGACCAGAACCAGAAUUCGAGUUCUCUGCCAAUAGAAGUUAAGCCUUUUGCAGGAGUGUCCUACCUCUGGGGUUCAGCUGUACAAAUACGCAAAGUGAUCAAGUAACUUACAAUGGCAAAGCUGUAUAAACACAAUCUUUAUAAGAGUUGUGGUCUUUUUCAAGAUCCUGGAACUGUAAAUAUAUCAUGUAUGGGUGUAAUUUCCCAGAACUGUAAAUAUAUCAUGUAUGAGUGGUAAUUAAAGAAAAC
ensembl:lncRNA